CUCCCUCCCUCCCCCCUCGUCCCCUCCUUCUCUCCCUCUCUCCCUCCCUCCCGUCUCCUUCUCCCUCCAUUCCUCCCCCUCUUUUCUCGCUCCCCUCCCCUCUCUCCUCCACCUUACACUGUUCUCCUCCCCCUCGCAGACGCCCCUGCCGCCUCCCUGCAACCAGACAUCCUGGCCACAGCUCCAGGCCCACAAGCUUGCUGCUCCUGAGGAGUGGUGGGGGCAAGGGGUGGAGGAAGGGUUCUUUAAAGCAAAGCUCAAAGUUCACCUCCUUGGGAAAGCCCUCCUUGGUUUCUCCAGGCAGAGUGGUUGCACUUCUUGCGGCUCCUGCCACUCCCAGACAAGCCCUUGCCUCAGCGACCCCCGUUCCACCUGUUGGUUUGCCUCUUGCCUGUGAGCAGCUCCAGGACUGGACCUUGGCCAGGUCAUCUUUGCAGCCCCCCAGCACAGUGUCCAGCCACAGGAGCACUCAGGAAACACUGAUGGAGCGUGUGGGCAAGACCCUCGCAGUGGGUCAGGAACCUCCACUGCGCACCCAGAAAGAGAAGACUGAUGCAAAACUGCAGUGGACCUUAGGCAAGCCACUCGCCAAUCCCUUUGAGAUCUGAUAUCCUGUGAAGAAUAAGGACUCCUCUGGCAAAAUUUAUUCUAGAAGGCCAUUUCUUUUCCUCCUAUGCCCAAGAAAGUAAAAGGACUUCCAAGAGGCAGGACAACAUCUGCUCCCACCCCCAGCCUUUCCUCUUCCCCUUGCACUCAUUUUUGUUUUGUUUUGUUUUGUUUUAUUACUCUCACCUAAUGAGCCUUUUUAUUCUGCCUGCCAUCUUUCGGCUCCCAAUUACUCCAGCCCGAUGUGUAGGAAAAUGGCUUCGGAGAGGAGGGGCCUUGCACAAGGCCUGUGAAAGAUCUGCAGGAGUUUCACAUCCAUCAAGAAUAUUCUCAGUAAAUGGGACCUGGCUGGCAGCACUCUGGUUACAAUUGGAGUUUUUCCACAACUGGUAUUGCUUUUGACAUGGACAUCAACUGAGCUGGGCUACAAAUCUAGUUGAGGCUUAAGGAAAAUACUGAGCUCAGUUAUGGACACCACACUUUAAGAUGGACUUUGACAAACAUCCGUGCUCCCGGUAUCCCAGUCAAGUUGGGUGAAUUCUCCCCUGAAAUUCUUCCAUCACUCCUGAAGCAAAGAGGCAAGCCUUGAUGAAACAAAAGGAGCCCAAGUUUUGAGAUCAGACAGACUUGGGUUUGAAUCUCAACACUAUCCCUUCCUGGCUGUGUGACUUUGGAUAAGACCCGUGAACUCCCUGAACCUGAGCUGCAACCGUAAGCCAGAACACAUAUAAAGUGCUGAAUAAAUGGCAGCUGUCAGAAUUCUUAUUUAAUAUGUGCAUCCCAUUGGGUUGUACAUUUCUGCUGAUGCAUCAUUUUUUUCUGAGAUUCCCCAAGGCUGGACUGUGUCUUGUUCAACUUUGUCUUCGCAGUGCCCCUUGAUAAGUAUAAGAAUGCGCUAAGAGUUGGAAGCAUGAAUAAAUCAUCUUGUA
rnacentral:lncRNA from 1 species